GUUAAGCUGAGGUCGUCUGAGCCCUGCGACAGCCUGGACAGCAACUCAGGAUGGCAUCAGGCAGGGCACGCUGCACCCGAAAACUCCGGAACUGGGUGGUGGAGCAAGUGGAGAGUGGGCAGUUCCCCGGAGUGUGCUGGGAUGAUACAGCUAAGACCAUGUUCCGGAUUCCCUGGAAGCAUGCAGGCAAGCAGGACUUCCGGGAGGACCAGGAUGCUGCCUUCUUCAAGGCCUGGGCAAUAUUUAAGGGAAAGUAUAAGGAGGGGGACACAGGAGGUCCGGCUGUCUGGAAGACUCGCCUGCGCUGUGCACUCAACAAGAGUUCUGAAUUUAAGGAGGUUCCUGAGAGGGGCCGCAUGGAUGUUGCUGAGCCCUACAAGGUGUAUCGGUUGCUGCCACCAGAAACCGUCUCUGGCCAUCCAGGGACUCAGAAACCACCAUCAAAGCGACAGCACAGUUCUGUGUCCUCUGAGAGGAAGGAGGAAGAGGGUGCCAUGCAGAACUGCACACUCAGUCCCUCUGUGCUCCAGGACUCCCUCAAUAAUGAGGAGGAGGGGGCCAGUGGGGGAGCAGUCCAUUCAGACAUCGGGAGCAGCAGCAGCAGCAGCCCUGAGCCACAGGAAGUUACAGACACAACUGAGGCCCCCUUUCAAGGGGAUCAGAGGUCCCUGGAGUUUCUGCUUCCUCCAGAGCCAGGUACGUGGCAUUUCUGACUUUCUCCUGUGCCCUGUGCCCCUGAGGUCUUCCACCUUUGACUAUGCAUGCAUUAUCUAGUCAGUCAGGGCUUACAGCAAACUGUGCCCACAUUACCAUAGCCCAAGGCACUGGUUUCUAGGUGGCGAGAAUUCCGUAUGCCUGGCCAGACUCCAUAAAGCUUGCUUCCCAAAAAUACCACCGUAUACGCUCUCCUGGAAAUCUGCAUUGAGACAUUGAUUUCAUUGGGCCAAACAGAGGCCCAAUCUCAAGGGACCUUCUAGUAAACUACAAGCCCCUCAGCAUUGAGCCCUGAGGCCUCAUGGUGAAUCACAUACUAGCUACUUGCCUGAGUGAUAGGAAAAUCUGAGAGGAAGCCCCCUGGCUGGUGUGGGGAGGGGAGGUGGAGCUGUUCCCCUGGGGAGGGGCUGCUGCCAGCCUGCAUGCUCCUCCAGCACCAGAUAGGGCUAUUCUAUCCCCAGACUACUCACUGCUGCUCACCUUCAUCUACAACGGGCGUGUGGUGGGCGAGGCCCAGGUGCAAAGCCUGGACUGCCGCCUUGUGGCUGAGCCCUCAGGCUCUGAGAGCAGCAUGGAGCAGGUGCUUUUCCCCAAGCCUGGCCCACUGGAGCCCACGCAGCGCCUGCUGAGCCAGCUUGAGAGGGGCAUCCUGGUGGCCAGCAACCCCCGAGGCCUCUUCGUGCAGCGCCUUUGCCCCAUCCCCAUCUCCUGGAAUGCACCCCAGGCUCCACCUGGGCCAGGCCCGCAUCUGCUGCCCAGCAACGAGUGCGUGGAGCUCUUCAGAACCGCCUACUUCCGCAGAGACUUGGCCAGGUACUUUCAGGGCCUGGGCCCCCCACCAAAGUUCCAGGUAACACUGAAUUUCUGGGAAGAGAGCCAUGGCUCCAGCCAUACUCCACAGAAUCUUAUCACAGUGAAGAUGGAGCAGGCCUUUGCCCGAUACUUGCUGGAGCAGACUCCAGAGCAGCAGGCAGCCAUUCUGUCCCUGGUGUAGAGCCUGGGGGACCCAUCUUCCACCUCACCUCUUUGUUCUUCCUGUCUCCUUUGAAAUA
rnacentral:sRNA from 1 species